rnacentral:rRNA from 1 species
UAGGGAAUCUUCGGCAAUGGACGAAAGUCUGACCGAGCAACGCCUCGUGAGUGAAGAAGGUUUUCGGAUCGUAAAACUCUGUUGUUAGAGAAGAACAAGGACGUUAGUAACUGAACGUCCCCUGACGGUAUCUAACCAGAAAGCCACGGCUAACUACGUGCCAGCAGCCGCGGUAAUACGUAGGUGGCAAGCGUUGUUCGGAUUUGUUGGGCGUAAAGCGAGCGCAGGCGGUUUCUUAAGUCUGAUGUGAAAGCCCCCGGCUCAACCGGGGAGGGUCAUUGGAAACUGGGAGACUUGUGUGCAGAAGAGGUGAGUGGAAUUCCAUGUGUAGCGGUGAAAUGCGUAGAUAUAUGGAGGAACACCAGUGGCGAAGGCGGCUCUCUGGUAUGUAACUGACGCUGAGUCUAGAAAGCGUGGGGAGCAAACAGG